rnacentral:lncRNA from 1 species
AUUAUUGUCCACUAUCAUAAGUGGCUUUCUGAUCCCUUGUAAAUUUUUUCCAAGUCUUGCCCUAGGGCAAGAACUUUUCUUAAUCACUCACUUGAUAACCAUUUUAUGGCUACAAACCGACUAGCAAAGUAUAAUUUAAAUCUUUCACCUAUAUAAGUGGCAUUAACAACCUCAAAAGAUCUAUAAGAACAUUUCAGUGCCUUAUCUAUAGCUUUCAGUAUGAGGUGGUAACAAGCUAAGAUACAAGCAAAUCUUCUUCACUAGAUACACAAACAAGCUAACCUUCAAUAUUAAACUUAAUAUUUUAAUGUAAUGAGGAAGAAACAGCAUAAGCCAUAUGACCAAGGUCUUCUAACAAGUAAUUAUAUGAAAGAGGGAUAUCCAUAACUUGAAACUUUAUAUUAAAAGUACAUGGAUCAAUCUGUAAAAGUAUCUCAAUAUCUCUAAGCACUUUUUUUGUCAAGUUUCAUUAAAGGCUGUGACAAUCAUGUGGCUGAUCUUCAUAUAAGAUAUAUUGCCAAGUAACAUAGUUAGGCAUAACAUUAAUUGUCAAACCAUAUCAAUGAGUACCUUAACCACAAUGUGGCUUUUGCAUUUAAUUGAAAUAUAAAGAACCUUAGUACUUCUUUUACCUUCUUGUGAAAUUUCAUCAUCACUGAAAGAUAUGUAAUUUAAAACCACCAAAUUACGGCUCGAUUGGCAGAUGGCGAGAGUGAGCAAGCUACCUUGGUCCUGCUAUGCUCGCUCAUCUCUACAUGGGAUUGAGCGAACUCGUGAUGCGUGGUAGUGAGGAGAAGAAGAAUGGCAAGAAAGAAUGACUUGGGCCUCUGAAGAACCUCGAGAGAACCUGAAAGCAGUACCACCCACAGAUGAUGAAGUUCGACAGGUUGACCUGGGAACGGAAGGCGACCCUCGCCCAAUCUUCCUAAGUGCCAGCCUAUCAUCAGAGGAAGCUGAACAAUACGUCCAGCUUCUUAAGGAAGACUUGGGCAUAUUUGCCUGGAGUUAGGUUGAUUCACAUAAUCAACAAACACAUCAUGUGCUACAUAUGCUUGGUUUAAUACCUUUAAUGAUGGGUUUUGGAUUUAGCAAUAAGGACAAUAGGAAAAUCCUUGUUGGCAUCUUUUUCAAUUAUUCCCCCACACUAUAUUCACUUGUUUUAUCAAAUUCAUAAACUUGCAAGCUUUUUUUCAAUAACAAGCUUU